CCUACGGGGGGCAGCAGUGGGGAAUAUUGGACAAUGGGGGGAACCCUGAUCCAGCCAUGCCGCGUGUGUGAAGAAGGCCCUCGGGUUGUAAAGCACUUUCAGUGAGGAAGAACGCCUGGUGGUUAAUACCCAUCAGGAAAGACAUCACUCACAGAAGAAGCACCGGCUAACUCCGUGCCAGCAGCCGCGGUAAUACGGAGGGUGCGAGCGUUAAUCGGAAUUACUGGGCGUAAAGCGCGCGUAGGUGGCUUGAUAAGCCGGUUGUGAAAGCCCCGGGCUCAACCUGGGAACGGCAUCCGGAACUGUCAAGCUAGAGUGCAGGAGAGGAAGGUAGAAUUCCCGGUGUAGCGGUGAAAUGCGUAGAGAUCGGGAGGAAUACCAGUGGCGAAGGCGGCCAUCUGGACUGACACUGACACUGAGGUGCGAAAGCGUGGGUAGCAAACAGGAUUAGAUACCCGAGUAGUC
rnacentral:rRNA from 1 species